rnacentral:rRNA from 1 species
AAUCUGCCCGAUAGUGGGGGAUAACCUGGGGAAACCCAGGCUAAUACCGCAUACGUCCUACGGGAGAAAGGGGGCUUCGGCUCCCGCUAUCGGAUGAGCCUAUGUCGGAUUAGCUGGUUGGUGAGGUAAAGGCUCACCAAGGCGACGAUCCGUAGCUGGUCUGAGAGGAUGAUCAGCCACAUCGGGACUGAGACACGGCCCGAACUCCUACGGGAGGCAGCAGUGGGGAAUAUUGGACAAUGGGGGGAACCCUGAUCCAGCCAUGCCGCGUGUGUGAAGAAGGCCCUCGGGUUGUAAAGCACUUUCAGUGAGGAAGAACGCCUGGUGGUUAAUACCCAUCAGGAAAGACAUCACUCACAGAAGAAGCACCGGCUAACUCCGUGCCAGCAGCCGCGGUAAUACGGAGGGUGCGAGCGUUAAUCGGAAUUACUGGGCGUAAAGCGCGCGUA